CAGUAGCCGCGGGAACACGUAGGGCGCAAGCGUUGUCCGGAAUUAUUGGGCGUAAAGAGCUCGUAGGCGGUUUGUCGCGUCUGCUGUGAAAACUCGAGGCUCAACCUCGGGCUUGCAGUGGGUACGGGCAGACUAGAGUGCGGUAGGGGAGACUGGAAUUCCUGGUGUAGCGGUGGAAUGCGCAGAUAUCAGGAGGAACACCGAUGGCGAAGGCAGGUCUCUGGGCCGCAACUGACGCUGAGGAGCGAAAGCAUGGGGAGCGAACAGGAUUAGAUACCCCUGUAGUCCCUGUCUCUUAUAA
rnacentral:rRNA from 1 species